rnacentral:rRNA from 1 species
AUGGCACUCCUCGCGCUCCGCCUCGGCCACGGCAGCAUCCUCCCCGCCCCGCCGCUCCGCCCCCAGCGCCAGCGCCAGCACCUCGUCGUCUCCUGCAGCGCCGUGAGCGACGGGGGCGCGGCGGUGGUGUGGUUCAAGCAUGACCUCCGCCUCGACGACCACCCGGGCCUCGUCGCUGCCUGCGCCGAGCCCAGCCGCCCCGUCGUGCCCCUCUACGUCUUCGACAGCCGCAUCCUCGCCGACACAAGGCUGGAACUUCUACUUUUUGCUUUGAAAGACCUUAAGUUGGCAUUGAAGUCUCAACGGUCUGAUCUGCUCAUAGGCUUGGGAAAUGCUGAAGAUGCUGUUCUGAAACUCGCAAACGAGGUACAAGCGGGUGUCAUUUAUACAGAAGAGGAAGUUGAACACAGUGUGUGCAGUGUUUUAGCCAAUGUUGAAUCUUCUUUGUCUAAUGGAUCGUUCACACGGGGAAACCCUCCUGAGAUAAAGUUCUGGACUGCCCCAUUGUAUGAUUAUAAGAGUUUGCGGCAACUGUCAACAUCACGCAACCAAUUUUUGAAUGAGAAAUUCUCGACAACUACAGCUCUCCCUGCCCCCACUCUUCCUACUCUAAAUGUGGAGUUAGACACAGUUUCCUGUUCAGGUUCUCUACCCACACUUGAAGAACUAAAGGUAUUCCUGAAAGAGAGCAGAAUGGCACAAGAUAAUUGGGUUCCUAUCAAGAGCACGUCAGCAAGAUCUAUGCUAAAAGCCGCCCUCAUUCAGAGGAAGAUUAAAAGUAAUGUUUCCUUAAGUGACGGCGAUGGAGGAAACAUAGAAGAUAUCACCACAAGUGCUGGUGCAUCAGGGAGGAAAAUAGCUGGUUCAAUGUUUGCAUCGGAAAGUUCACUUGAAGUUAGAGGUGGAACGGAUAUUACUCUGGAUGCUUUAGAAGCUUACCUGAAAUACCUAGAAGGCACAGGAAAGGCUAGUUGGCAAGAGUUGCAUGAUAAGGUGCGCUUUGCUGAAACCAGGGAUGGUGCUUCGUUUCACACGUUAUUUGGUAAUGCAAUUCAGCUUGGAGUCAUAUCUAGGAGGAGAGCUUACCAAGAAACUAUUCAAUAUGAGAGAGAUCGCAAUGCUGGCUUUCUAUCACCGUUUGGAUACUCAACCCCUACAGUGACAUCAGCAGUAGAUGCUAUCUGUUCAUUGGAGUGGUACUGGCUCUUGGCAUUGAAAUCCCAAGUAUCCAUUGAGGAAAAUUAUCCUUUAAAGUUUUGGAGAUGGAAGGGUUAUCUUAUACAGUAUACAUCUGUUGGCCAUGAAGGUCCUGCAGUUCUUCUCGUGCAUGGCUUUGGAGCUUCCUUGCAGCACUUUCGUGAUAAUAUCAGCAACAUUGCUGAUGAAGGACACCGAGUUUGGGCAAUUACCCUUCUUGGCUUUGGGAAAUCAGAGAAACCAAAUGUUGACUAUUCAGAACUUCUGUGGUCAGAAUUACUGAGGGACUUCAUUGUUGAUGUUGUGAGGGAGCCUGUUCAUCUUGUAGGCAACUCUAUUGGAGGUUAUAUCUGCGCUAUUGCUGCUGGCUUAUGGCCUUCCCUUGCAAAUUCUCUUGUUCUUCUGAACUCAGCUGGUUCAGUUGUUCCAAAUUACUCCUUCAUCCCACUGAGUAAAGAAGGACGGACCUCAUGGCUUUCAAGGUUGCAGGCACGCCUCCUUUUGCUCUUUUUGAGGUCAAGGGCAGGAGGCAUUCUCAAGGGAUACUAUCCUACUAGAACUGAACGGGUUGACAAGCCACUCGUGGAUGAGAUUAUAAGAGCUUCAUAUGACCCUGGUGCAACAACAGUUAUCGAGAGCGUAUUCAACUUCAAUCUUUCAAUUCCUCUUAAUUUUCUAUUCGAUUCUUUUGGAGGGAACAUCUUAGUUAUUCAGGGAAUAAAAGAUCCGCUUAUAAAAUCCGAGUCAUUCGUUUCCAUGCUUAGAGAGCAUUGCAGCAAGGUCCAAAUUAGGGAGUUAAAUGCAGGUCAUGCUCCGCAUGAUGAAGUUCCUGAUGAAGUGAACUCCUUACUGUCUGAAUGGAUGAAAACGAACAAGACUGAACUUAAGCCAGCUUUGGAGAAGUCCAAGGCAAUUUAG